UCGGCUUAGAGUUUGAUCAUGGCUCAGGACGAACGCUGGCGGCAUGCCUAAUACAUGCAAGUCGAACGAGUGCUUGCACCGUGGCGAACUGGUGAGUAACACGUGGGAAAUCUGCCCAGAAGCAGGGGAUAACACUUGGAAACAGGUGCUAAUACCGUAUAACAACAAAUCCGCAUGGAUUUUGUUGAAAGGUGUUCGUAUCACUUCUGAAUGAUCCCGCGGCGUAUUAGUUAGUUGGUGAGGUAAAGGCCCACCAAGACGAUGAUACGUAGCCGACCUGAGAGGGUAAUCGGCCACAUUGGGACUGAGACACGGCCCAAACUCCUACGGGAGGCAGCAGUAGGGAAUCUUCCACAAUGGACGAAAGUCUGAUGGAGCAAUGCCGCGUGAGUGAAGAAGGGUUUCGGCUCGUAAAACUCUGUUGUUAAAGAAGAACACCUUUGAGGUAAUUCAAGGGUUGACGGUAUUUAACCAGAAAGCCACGGCUAACUACGUGCCAGCAGCCGCGGUAAUACGUAGGUGGCAAGCGUUGUCCGGAUUUAUUGGGCGUAAAGCGAGCGCAGCGGUUUUUUAAGUCUGAUGUGAAAGCCUUCGGCUUAACCGGAGAAGUGCAUCGGAAACUGGGAGACUUGAGUGCAGA
rnacentral:rRNA from 1 species